rnacentral:rRNA from 1 species
AGCGAACGCUGGCGGCAGGCCUAACACAUGCAAGUCGAACGAACCUUUCGGGGUUAGUGGCGGACGGGUGAGUAACACGUGGGAACGUGCCUUUAGGUUCGGAAUAACUCAGGGAAACUUGUGCUAAUACCGAAUGUGCCCUUCGGGGGAAAGAUUAAUCGCCUUUAGAGCGGCCCGCGUCUGAUUAGCUAGUUGGUUGAGGUAAUGGCUCACCAAGGCGACGAUCAGUAGCUGGUCUGAGAGGAUGAUCAGCCACAUUGGGACUGAGACACGGCCCAAACUCCUACGGGAGGCAGCAGUGGGGAAUCGUGCGCAAUGGGCGAAAGCCUGACGCAGCCAUGCCGCGUGAAUGAUGAAGGUCUUAGGAUUGUAAAAUUCUUUCACCGGGGACGAUAAUGACGGUACCCGGAGAAGAAGCCCCGGCUGACUUCGUG